rnacentral:lncRNA from 1 species
UUAAAAUGCCUAAGUCAUACUUCAAACCAUAGCUAUGUACAUUUUUACAGUAUAUAAACUUAGGGACAUUCCUGUCGAUGACAGUGGAGAUACCAGGAAAGGAACGAUAAGGCCUGUAUAUAUGAGGCUAGCACAUGUGUAUCAUUCUACAGCAUCCAAUCUCAUAAUAUGUGAGGUACUCACUUAUAAACGCACUCUAAAAUUAGAAUAAAGAAUAUACAGAAUAUAUUCUAUAGAAUACAAAGAAGUAGAGAAUAUAGUAGCAGCUAUCAUGGGCUGAGGGUAGCAUAAAGGAAAGGAGAGAAAGGGGAGAAAGUCUCAGACACAGGAAUAGGAUCUGUUUCACCAUGGUUAAUAAUGUGCCUUUUGAAACUGCUAAAAGAGCACAUUUUAAAUGUUUUUGAGACAGAGUGAUUAAUAUGUGAAGUGAUGGAUAUGUUUAUGUGCUCGUAUGUUUAUAUGCUUAUUUGCUCAUUUCACAAUGUACAAAUGGCACUACAUUGAACGCAUCAUUAAAUAUAAUCAAUAAAGACAUUAAGUUUC